AUUGCACGCUGGCAGCAGGCCUAACACAAGCAAGUCGAACGAGUGGCGGACGGGUGAGUAAAGCCUGGGAAACUGCCUGAUGGAGGGUGAUAAUUCCUGGAAACGGUAGCUAAUACCUCAUACUAUCAGAUGCGCCCCGAUGGGAUUAGCUAGUUGGUGGGGUAACGGCUCACCAAGGCGACGAUCCCUAGCUGGUCUGAGAGGAUUACCAGCCACACUGGAACUGAGACACGGUCCAGACUCCUACGGGAGGCAGCAGUGGGGAAUAUUGCACAAUGGGCGCAAGCCUGAUGCAGCCAUGCCGCGUGUAUGGAGAAGGCCUUCGGGUUGUAAAGUACUUUCAGCGGGGAGGCGUUACCCGCAGAAGAACCACCUGCUAACUCCGUGCCAGCAGCCGCGGUAAUAC
rnacentral:rRNA from 1 species